GGCUCUGUGGCUUAGCUGUUAAAGCACCUGUUUAGUAAACAGGAGAUCCUGGGUUCGUAUCCCAGCAGAGCCU